CCUUUUUUCUUUCUUUCUGUAAAGUGGUUUAUCAUCAUAUGAUAAAAUUUAUUUACUCUAACCGAACCGCCGGUGCAUAACGGAAGGAUAAAGCAUUCUGAUAAUGUCAAGAGAGAUCGGGGUAGACCAAACUUCACAUGGGUGGGUCCGUAAAGAGAGGCCUGAAAGACUGGAAUAACACCAAAGAACCAGCCAUGGACAUGGGUGCGUGGAAGUUAGCUAUCCACGUGUCAGAACCAUGUUUCGAGAUCUUAUGGGUUUUCAACUCUACCCUAGGCCAAUUUGUUUGGGACUGAAAGGCUUUGUUGUUCUCUGACCGAACCGCUAGUUUUGACACAGUUCUAUUUUAUUUCAUUUUGAUGAAAGACGACACGGCUAUAGGGAGCAACAAACUGUUCUCGCGUACUAGUUCUCGCAUACUAGGAUUAUUCGUGAACGGUGUUGUCCACUGUUGGCUGGUGUGUGUGUGUGUUACCUGGCCCAUGUGGCCCAUAUACAUUAGUAUGUAAAGCAAGAGAGAAGAAUAGAGAAGGUUGACUGAUUCUAGAUAUUUCCUGAACGACAAGAUUGUGUCAGAGCACAGGUGGGAGAAGAUGUUGGGUUCUGCAGGUUGCCCGUGGUGAAUCAGCAGCAUGGGGUGGAGCUCCGGGCGCCCAGGGUGUCAGCGCAGCGGGGAACAAGCUCCGGGAAAAGGGCAACAGGCCCAGGCGGAGUAGUUGUGCAGGAAUGGAGCCGGCGGCCGGCAGUGUGCGAGAGUGGGUCUGCCGGAGGAGACGGCAGCACUUGGUAUUGGCAGUUGCCAGCGAUGCUAGGUCCUGGUGGUCAGAUGGAAGCAAGAGUAGGAAGUACGGAGGUGGCGGCGGCCGAGAGGAUGAAGUGAGGAAAGAUUCAAAAAGUCAAACGAGGAAGAAACUUUGAGGGUGUAUACAAGAAGAAAACCUAUGAGUGAAGAGAGAUGGAGUCAUGGAAGAGGUCUAUUGUUUAAGGCCAAUGGGCACUUAAAUGUAGAGGGCUACUGUGAUGCUGAUUGGGCUAGUUGCAUUGAUGCCAGAAGGUCAACAUUUGGCUUUUGUGUCUUUGUUGGAGUAAACCUUCGAGGAGGAUGAAGCAGCCGGUGGUCUCCUGAUCUACAACUGAAGCAGAAUAUAGAGCAAUGUCUUUUUGUUUGUGUGAGAUGCUGUGGAUGAAAGGCCUCAUAUCAGAGUUAAGGCUACUAAGGAGAGGACCAUUGAAGCUCUGGUGUGAUAACAAGUCAGCAAUCAACAUUGCAAACUAUCUAGUUCGGCAUGACCGAACAAAGCAUGUGUAGAUCGUUUUUUUCAUAAAAGAGAGGCUUGACGAGGGAACGCUGAAGCUAAUCCAUGUUACUUCCGCGGAAAAAUAGCUGAUUGCAUAAUGAAGGGGCCAGGAACAAAAGAGUGUUUGUCAGCAUGUGACAAGAUGUGGAUUAUAGAUAUCUAUCGUCCAUCUUGAGGUGUGCGUGUGCGUGUGCGGCCCAUAUACACUAGGGGGAAUAUCAGGUGCUCCAGCGUCGUAGGUGAUACGAGCUUCCGGGCCGUCGGAUCUCAGAUCCAACGACAUCUGAGGGGCUACUACACUUGCACGCGAUUCUCAGACUUUCGAAGGGCUUUUUUGAGAAAUGUUCAGAGUCCCCUAGGAGCAUUCGGAUCUGAGAUCCAAUGGCUUCCGAUAGCUCGUAUCACCGGAGCAUCUAAGGCGCUGGAGCACCUGAUCUCUCCCUAUACACUAGUAUGUAUAGCAAUAGAAGAAUAGAGAAGGUUGAUUGAUUCCAGAUAGUUCUUGACCGAGAACAUUCAUGUCAUAACUUUUAACGGGCUUGAGAAUCAAUGUAAUCUGACAAGUUUGUUAUUCCUUCUGUUCAUGAUCAAAGUAUGUCCAUAAGAAACUCCGGCAAAGAUAUAAAGCUAACUAGACUUGAGCUUUGAAGAAGUUGAGCUCAUCUGUUGGCUCAAUGUUGGCGGACAUGCAAAUAACUGACUGGCUCAAUGUUGGCUGCUCAUUUAGGUCACACCUAGUUCGUUCCAAAUUUUCUGCAUAAAUAGUAGGGCGGACAUGCAAAUGUGUAUGGAUGCAGGAAGCUAUUAGUUGUGACCACUGGAAUAAUGAUGAGAAGAGAAGCACAAUGCAACUGCCAUUUGGUGUGGUACUGCCAUCAGAGCAAGAAGGCUAAGAAAUAACAGCGAAUUGACAUGGUGAAUAUAUCAGUUGAAAACUAAAUUUAGGAAGCAUGUAUUUACUAUUCUGAAAUUUUGUUCAAUGGGCAAUUGCGAAUCUUCUAGGUUU